rnacentral:rRNA from 1 species
UAGAAGGGCCUAAGUACCCUAAAAGCACCAAAUCCCAUCUGAUCUUGGAAGCUAAGCAGAGUCAGCCCUGCUUAGUACUUGUAUGGAAGGCUGCCAAUGAAUUCCAAAUGCUGUAGGUU